rnacentral:rRNA from 1 species
GACGAACGCUGGCGGCGUGCUUAACACAUGCAAGUCGAACGGAAAGGCCCUGCUUUUGUGGGGUGCUCGAGUGGCGAACGGGUGAGUAACACGUGAGUAACCUGCCCUUGACUUUGGGAUAACUUCAGGAAACUGGGGCUAAUACCGGAUAGGAGCUCCUGCUGCAUGGUGGGGGUUGGAAAGUUUCGGCGGUUGGGGAUGGACUCGCGGCUUAUCAGCUUGUUGGUGGGGUAGUGGCUUACCAAGGCUUUGACGGGUAGCCGGCCUGAGAGGGUGACCGGCCACAUUGGGACUGAGAGACGGCCCAGACUCCUACGGGAGGCAGCAGGGGGGAAUAUUGCACAAUGGGCGGAAGCCUGAUGCAGCAACGCCGCGUGCGGGAUGACGGCCUUCGGGUUGUAAACCGCUUUCGCCUGUGACGAAGCGGGAGUGACGGUAAUGGGUAAAGAAGCACCGGCUAACUACGUG